rnacentral:rRNA from 1 species
GGCAUUGGUGUGGCCGAUCCCGCUUGCUAUACAUGCAAGUCGAGCGGACAGAUGGGAGCUUGCUCCCUGAUGUUAGCGGCGGACGGGUGAGUAACACGUGGGUAACCUGCCUGUAGAACUGGGAUAACUCCGGGAAACAGGGGCUAAUACCGGAUGCUUGUUUGAACCGCAUGGUUCAGACAUAAAAGGUGGCUUCGGCUACCACUUACAGAUGGACCCGCGGCGCAUUAGCUAGUUGGUGAGGUAACGGCUCACCAAGGCAACGAUGCGUAGCCGACCUGAGAGGGUGAUCGGCAAAACUAAGACUGAGACACGGACCCAGGACAAAACCUAACGGGAGGCAGCAGUAGGGAAUCUUCCGCAAUGGACGAAAGUCUGACGGAUAACGCCGCGUGAGUGAUGAAGGUUUUCGGAUCGUAAAGCUCUGUUGUUAGGGAACAUCAAGUGCCAUUCAAA